AUUGAACGCUGGCGGCAGGACUAACACAUGCAAGUCGAGCGAGCGGCGGACGGGUGAGUAGUGUAUGGGGACUGCCCGAUAGAGGGGGAUAACUAGUGGAAACGGUGGCUAAUACCGCAUAUUAUCGGAUAACCCAUAUGGGAUUAGCUAGUAGGUGGGGUAAAGACUCACCUAGGCGACGAUCUCUAGCUGGUCGGAGAGGAUGAUCAACCACACAUAGACUGAGACACGGCCCAGACUCCUACGGAGGCAGCAGUGGAGAAUAUUGAACAAUGGGCGCAAGCCUGAUGCAGCCAUGCCGCGUGUAUGAAGAAGGCCUUAGGGUUGUAAAGUACUUUCGGCGGGGAGGCGUUACCCGCAGAAGAAGCACCGGCUAACUACGUGCCAGCAGCCGCGGUGAUAC
rnacentral:rRNA from 1 species